rnacentral:rRNA from 1 species
AUACGGAGGGGGUUAGCGUUGUUCGGAAUUACUGGGCGUAAAGCGCACGUAGGCGGAUUGGAAAGUUGGGGGUGAAAUCCCAGGGCUCAACCCUGGAACUGCCUCCAAAACUAACAGUCUAGAGUUCGAGAGAGGUGAGUGGAAUUCCAAGUGCAGAGGUGAAAUUCGUAGAUAUUUGGAGGAACACCAGUGGCGAAGGCGGCUCACUGGCUCGAUACUGACGCUGAGGUGCGAAAGCGUGGGGAGCAAACAGGAUUAGAUACCCCAGUAGUCC